ACGGCUCAGUAACACGUCGGUAACCUACCCUCGGGAGGGGGAUAACCCCGGGAAACUGGGGCUAAUUCCCCAUAGGCCUGAGGUACUGGAAGGUCCUCAGGCUGAAAGGGACUUAUGUCCGCCCGAGGAUGGGCCGGCGGCCGAUUAGGUAGUUGGUGGGGUAAUGGCCCACCAAGCCGAAGAUCGGUACGGGCUGUGAGAGCAGGAGCCCGGAGAUGGACACUGAGACACGGGUCCAGGCCCUACGGGGCGCAGCAGGCGCGAAACCUCCGCAAUGCGGGAAACCGCGACGGGGGGACCCCGAGUGCCGUGGCAACGCCACGGCUUUUCCGGAGUGUAAAAAGCUCCGGGAAUAAGGGCUGGGCAAGGCCGGUGGCAGCCGCCGCGGUAAUACCGGCGGCCCGAGUGGUGGCCGCUAUUAUUGGGCCUAAAGCGUCCGUAGCCGGGCCCGUAAGUCCCUGGCGAAAUCCCACGGCUCAACCGUGGGGCUUGCUGGGGAUACUGCGGGUCUUGGGACCGGGAGAGGCGGGGGGUACCCCUGGGGUAGGGGUGAAAUCCUAUAAUCCCAGGGGGACCGCCAGUGGCGAAGGCGCCCCGCUGGAACGGGUCCGACGGUGAGGGACGAAGGCCAGGGGAGCAAACCGGAUUAGAUACCCGGGUAGUCCUGGCUGUAAAGGAUGCGGGCUAGGUGUCGGGUGAGCCUCGAGCUCGCCCGGUGCCGUAGGGAAGCCGUUAAGCCCGCCGCCUGGGGAGUACGGCCGCAAGGCUGAAACUUAAAGGAAUUGGCGGGGGAG
rnacentral:rRNA from 1 species